rnacentral:rRNA from 1 species
GACGAACGCUGGCGGCGUGCUUAACACAUGCAAGUCGAACGGAAAGGCCCUGCUUGCCGGGUACUCGAGUGGCGAACGGGUGAGUAACACGUGGGUGAUCUGCCCUGCACUUCGGGAUAAGCUUGGGAAACUGGGUCUAAUACCGGAUAGGAGCCAUCCUUAGUGUGGUGGUUGGAAAGUUUUUUCGGUGUAGGAUGAGCUCGCGGCCUAUCAGCUUGUUGGUGGGGUAAUGGCCUACCAAGGCGGCGACGGGUAGCCGGCCUGAGAGGGUGUACGGCCACAUUGGGACUGAGAUACGGCCCAGACUCCUACGGGAGGCAGCAGUGGGGAAUAUUGCACAAUGGGCGCAAGCCUGAUGCAGCGACGCCGCGUGGGGGAUGAAGGCCUUCGGGUUGUAAACUCCUUUCGCUAGGGACGAAGCUUUUUUGUGACGGUACCUAGAGAAGAAGCACCGGCUAACUACGUG